CCCGCUGAACUUAAGCAUAUCAGUAAGCGGAGGAAAAGAAACUAACAAGGAUUCCCCUAGUAACGGCGAGCGAAGCGGGAAGAGUUCAAAUUUAAAAUCUGGGUGGGUCUCCCACUCCGAAUUGUAAUUUAAAGAGGCGCUAUCUGGGCCUGGCCUGGUGCUCAAGUCCCUUGGAAUAGGGCGUCACAGAGGGUGAGAACCCCGUCUGGGCACUGGUGCUGGGUCCUCCAUGAGGCGCUUUCUACGAGUCGAGUUGUUUGGGAAUGCAGCUCAAAAUGGGUGGUAAAUUUCAUCUAAAGCUAAAUAUUGGCCAGAGACCGAUAGCGCACAAGUAGAGUGAUCGAAAGAUGAAAAGCACUUUGGAAAGAGAGUUAAACAGUACGUGAAAUUGUUGAAAGGGAAGCGCUUGCAACCAGACUUGCACGCUGUCGAUCAUCCGAGAUUCUUCCCGGUGCACUCGACUGCGUUCAGGCCAGCAUCGGUUUUGGUGGUUGGAUAAAGGCCUUGGGAAUGUGGCUCCUCUCGGGGAGUGUUAUAGCCCUCGGUGCAAUGCAGCCUACUGGGACCGAGGACCGCGCUUCGGCUAGGAUGCUGGCGUAAUGGUUGUAAGCGACCCGUCUUGAAACACGG
rnacentral:rRNA from 1 species